UUGCUCAUGUAAAAUGUUUGCAUUGCUUAGGUUACAACAGUUCAUUGCUAGAGAUUAGCUGCUGGCAAAUUAGAAUUUCUCUGAUUUUUUUUUGGUACAAACCCAGCUUAUUUUUAGCACAAACUACAAAAGGCUUGCAUAUAGAUGGAUUUCCCAAUAUCCUCAUGGGUCAAAGACCACACAUUUCUACUAAGAAUCUUGGGAACUGACCAGACCUGAACUUUCUCUCUCUGUUCUACAUACGUACAUCCAGGACCACAUCCUUUAUUCAUUCGGCUGGCAAUAAGGAACAAUGGAAGGCCGUGAGCAGACCUUUGUCCCAGAUUAUUUUGUAAAUGUGGUAAAAUCAUCUCAACAGGAAAAGAAAAACAAUGCACUGACCCCCUGACAUCAGUGAAGAGUUUCCUCUCGCUCUCAUCCAAACCUGACAGCAGCACAUAAACAACGUACCUACACAUAAAAUGUGAUAUGGUCAAUAUAAGAAUGUGCAGGACUACAGAUCUUUCCUUUCUGUUCUUCUGCACAUCUGAGACCUUAAAACGGCUGAGUGAGGCAUUUAGAUGGCAAAUCCUCUCACAGAUCCUCUGGACAAGGCAGGGGUCUAUGAUGAAAACCUGAAACCCAAACACCCAGUGACGUACUGGCCGUUGCAACACAGAGAACAUGGGAACCAUCUCAAUAACACUGUGGUGAAAUAAAAGGUUAUUUAAAAGGCCAAAGCGGUUUGAUAACACUCAAAACAGUUGGUUCUGAGGUCCAGAACAUAUUGGCAUAAAGACAUUUUACUUACCCUUGUGCCGUUUUACAAAACCUUUCUUUUGUGGAAGAUAAAUGAAAAUAAUUUGGUAAACAUCUUCUUUUUUUUUCUGUCCAUAUGGAAAUCAACGGUCACUCUUCAAAACAUCCUUCCACAUAACAAAAGAAAAUCACACAGGUUUGGAUAAACACAAGGCUCCAGCUAUGGCUUCUCAAGCUGAAUGUCUUCUCCACAGAUGGCCACAUCCUGAUAGGGGCCUUGCUGACUGGAGCGUUGAAUUUGAUGUUCAUUCAACCUCUUUGACUGGAGGAAUAAAGUUGAACAUCAUCAUCAUCAUGGAAUCACUUUAUUUAUUUGUUUGUUUAAUGUUGUGUGUGGUGCAGUUUUCUUUUUUAUAUGCUGUAUGGAAUACAUCCAA